rnacentral:rRNA from 1 species
GUCGAGCGGACCGACGGGAGCUUGCUCCCUUAGGUCAGCGGCGGACGGGUGAGUAACACGUGGGUAACCUGCCUGUAAGACUGGGAUAACUCCGGGAAACCGGGGCUAAUACCGGAUGCUUGAUUGAACCGCAUGGUUCAAUCAUAAAAGGUGGCUUUUAGCUACCACUUACAGAUGGACCCGCGGCGCAUUAGCUAGUUGGUGAGGUAACGGCUCACCAAGGCGACGAUGCGUAGCCGACCUGAGAGGGUGAUCGGCCACACUGGGACUGAGACACGGCCCAGACUCCUACGGGAGGCAGCAGUAGGGAAUCUUCCGCAAUGGACGAAAGUCUGACGGAGCAACGCCGCGUGAGUGAUGAAGGUUUUCGGAUCGUAAAACUCUGUUGUUAGGGAAGAACAAGUACCGUUCGAAUAGGGCGGUACCUUGACGGUACCUAACCAGAAAGCCACGGCUAACUACGUGCCAGCAGCCGCGGUAAUACGUAGGUGGCAAGCGUUGUCCGGAAUUAUUGGGCGUAAAGCGCGCGCAGGCGGUUUCUUAAGUCUGAUGUGAAAGCCCCCGGCUCAACCGGGGAGGGUCAUUGGAAACUGGGGAACUUGAGUGCAGAAGAGGAGAGUGGAAUUCCACGUGUAGCGGUGAAAUGCGUAAAGAUGU